UUCUUAGAGGGACUAUCGGCUCAAGCCGAUGGAAGUUUGAGGCAAUAACAGGUCUGUGAUGCCCUUAGAUGUUCUGGGCCGCACGCGCGCUACACUGACAGAGCCAACGAGUUCAUCACCUUGGCCGGAAGGUCUGGGUAAUCUUGUUAAACUCUGUCCGUGCUGGGGAUAGAGCAUUGCAAUUAUUGCUCUUCAACGAGGAAUGCCUAGUAAGCGCAUGUCAUCAGCAUGCGUUGAUUACGUCCCUGCCCUUUGUACACACCGCCCGUCGCUACUACCGAUUGAAUGGCUCAGUGAGGCCUUCGGACUGGCUCAGGGAGGUUGGCAACGACCACCCCGAGCCGGAAAGUUCGUCAAACUUGGUCAUUUAGAGGA
rnacentral:rRNA from 1 species